rnacentral:rRNA from 1 species
GUGGGGAAUUUUGGACAAUGGGCGCAAGCCUGAUCCAGCAAUGCCGCGUGUGUGAAGAAGGCCUUCGGGUUGUAAACUGCUUUUGUACGGAACGAAACGGUCCGGGUUAAUACCCUGGGCUAAUGACGGUACCGUAAGAAUAAGCACCGGCUAACUACGUGCCAGCAGCCGCGGUAAUACGUAGGGUGCAAGCGUUAAUCGGAAUUACUGGGCGUAAAGCGUGCGCAGGCGGUUUUGUAAGACAGGCGUGAAAUACCCGGGCUCAACCGGGGAAUUGCGCUUGUGACUGCAAGGCUGGAGUGCGGCAGAGGGGGAUGGAAUUCCGCGUGUAGCAGUGAAAUGCGUAGAUAUGCGGAGGAACACCGAUGGCGAAGGCAAUCCCCUGGGCCUGCACUGACGCUCAUGCACGAAAGCGUGGGGAGCAAACAGGAUUAGAUACCCUUGUAGUCC